GCCAGCAGUGGGGAAUAUUGGACAAUGGGCAAGACGCCUGAUCCAGCCAUAUAGUAAGAGCUUAGCUCUAAAGAAAAGGAAAAUAAUGAUAAAACUUUUCUACUAAUCCUGACUAAUCUCGUGCCAGCAGUCGCGGUAAUACGAGGAGGAUAAGCGUAAUUCAUUAUAUCUAGGUGUAAAGGGUCUGUAGGCGGCAAAAAGCUAGAGUGUAAAAGAAGAAAGAGGAAUUAAAUAAGGAGGGAUGAAAUCUGUAGAUAUAAAUUAAGAACAUCAAAGGCGAAGGCAUCUUUCUAAUAAACACUGACGCUAAGAGACUAAAGUGUGGGUAGCGAAAAGGAUUAGAUACCCUAUUAGUCCACACCCUAAACUAUGAGUGUUAAACUUAACAGAAACACUCCACCUGGGGACUACUAUCGCAAGAUAGAAACCCAAAAGAAUAGACGGUCUUUAAGACCAGCAGUGAAGCAUGUUGUUUAAUUUGACGGUACCCAAAGAAUCUUACCAAUCUUUGAAUUAUUAUAAUGGGAUUUAUAUCCAAUCAAUGAUAAAUUGAUUUGUGUUUACACGGAUUAUAGUAACAGGUGUUGCAUGGCUGUCUUUAGUUCGUGUUGUGAAAUAUAAGGUUAAGUCCAGUAACGAACGAAACCCCUAAUACUAAUUAAAUCUUAGUAGACUAGCUCUAGGGAUUAAGACAAGUCCUUAUGGCCCUCAAGGAUUGGGCUACAGACGUGCCACAAUAGUAGAAACAAUAGGAAGCUUGAAAAAGUAAAUAAACCCUGAAAAACUACUAUGUACUAAUGGAAGUCUGAAACUCGGCUUCCUGAAGAAGGAAUUGCUAGUAAUCGUGGAUCACCAUGCCACGGUGAACAAGAAUUUUAGAGAUGUACUAAUCGCCCGUCAAGGGCGGAGAGAGAUAGACUACGAAAGCUAACGCUAGGGUUUAAUUUUGUUUUUUCAUUCGGAAUGAAGUCAAAAUUUUUCCUAUUAAGGCUAUUGCUACCAAUCUAAAUCUAUCCGUCUUAAGUCGUAACAAAGUUACCUUAGGGGAACCUGAGGUAGAAUGGUAAAUACC
rnacentral:rRNA from 1 species